CCUACGGGUGGCAGCAGUGAGGAAUAUUGGUCAAUGGCCGGGAGGCUGAACCAGCCAAGUCGCGUGAGGGAAGACGGCCCUACGGGUUGUAAACCUCUUUUGUCAGGGAGCAAGGUGCAGGUCGGGACCUGCUGUGAGAGUACCUGAAGAAAAAGCAUCGGCUAACUCCGUGCCAGCAGCCGCGGUAAUACGGAGGAUGCGAGCGUUAUCCGGAGUUAUUGGGUUUAAAGGGUGCGCAGGCGGAGGCACAAGUCAGCGGUAAAUCGCGGGGCUCAACCCCGCUCCGCCGUUGAAACUGUGUGCCUUGAGUGCGCGAAGGGUAGGCGGAAUGCGUGGUGUAGCGGUGAAAUGCAUAGAUAUCACGCAGAACUCCGAUCGCGAAGGCAGCCUACCGGCGCGCAACUGACGCUCAUGCACGAAAGCGUGGGCAUCGAACAGGAUUAGAUACCCGGGUAGUC
rnacentral:rRNA from 1 species